GCGAGUUUCUUCCUGUAACUCAGCCGGCUUGAGUGUUUCUGGGUGAAACCUUCUGAGUGACUCUCCUGGGUGCUGUGAGCGGAGCUCGGCAAGCUCAGAACUGCAGACAUGGAUGUAGUGACCUUUGAUGACUUGCAUGUGGACUUCACUCCUGAAGAGUGGGCUUUGCUGGAUCAUUCUCAGAAGAGUCUCUACAAAGAUGUGAUGUUGGAGACCUAUAGGAAUCUCACAGCUAUAGUUGAGAAUGAAGAAGAAUGAGGUGAAUGAAUCAGAGAUGGUUCUAAAGUUCCUUCAACUCAAUAACUUAAAUGUUGCCUGUUUUCCAAUAAUGUAACCUACUUUCUCCGGUACCAUAUUUUAGGCUACGUUUGGGAAGACUAUUCUAUUGGUGAACAUUUUCAAAGUUCUAGAAGACAUGGAAGGCAUGAAAUAAGUGGUACUGGAGAGCAACCCUCUGAGAUUACUCAUUGUGGUAAAGCUUAUGCAUAUCAGAGUCAUACUCAAAGGCAUGAAAGAACUCGUAAUAGAGAGAGACCCUAUGAAUGUAACCAAUGUGUCAAAGCCUUUGUACGAAGCAGUGAUCUCAAAAAUCAUGAAAGAACACAUACAGGAGAGAAACCUUUUGAGUGUAACGAAUGUGGUAAAGCUUUUGUACGAAGCAGUUAUCUCCGAAGCCAUAAACAAACACAUUCAGGACAGAAACCCUAUGAAUGUAACCAAUGUGGUAAAGCCUUUACAACAAGCAGUGCUCUCAUAUAUCAUAAAAGAACACAUACUGGAGAGAAACCCUAUGAAUGUGACCAAUGUGGUAAAGCCUUUGCAGGAAGUAAUGCUCUCAAAUACCAUAAAAGAACACAUACAGGAGAGAAACCCUAUGAAUGUGACCAAUGUGGUAAAGCCUUUGCAGGAAGCAGUGUUCUCCAAUAUCAUAAAAGAACACAUACAGGGGAGAAACCCUAUGAAUGUAACCAAUGUGGUAAAGCCUUUGCAAUAAGGAAUGAACUCCAAAUACAUAAAAGAACACAUACUGGAGAGAAACCCUAUGAAUGUAACCAGUGUGGUAAAGCCUUUGUACAAAGAGGUCAUCUCAGAAAUCAUAAACAAACACAUACAGGACAGAAACCCUAUGAAUGUAACCAAUGUGGUAAAACCUUUGCAGUAAGCAGUGCUCUCAAAUGUCAUAAAAGAACACAUACAGGGGAGAAACCCUAUGAAUGUACCGAAUGUGGUAAAGCCUUUGCAGGAGGCACUGCUCUCAAAUAUCAUAAAAGAACACAUACUGGAGAGAAACCCUAUGAAUGUAACCAAUGUAGUAAAGCCUUUGCAGGAAGCAGUGACCUUAAAAUACAUAAGAGAACACAUACAGGGGAAAAAAACAUAUUAAUGUAACCAAUCAGGUCAAACUUUUUCACAAAUCAGUAGCCUUAAUAUACAUAGAAGAACACGUAUUUUAGAGAAACCCUUUGAGUGAAUCCAGUGUGGUAAAGAUUUUUCACAAAGCAGUGGUCAUCACAAUCAUAAAAGGACACAGACAUGAAAGCAGUUUUUGAAUGUGAGCAGUGUGGUUUUAAACCUUUUCACAAAGCAGUGUCCCCCAAAUAUAUAAAGGACCAUGUACUGAAGAAAACACUGAAUAUCAUCAAUGUUCUGAAGCUCUUCUAUGUCCCAAUCAUCUUCAAAUACAUAAAAGAACAUGUACUGGAGAAAACUCCUCUGAAUGGAACUAAUGUUGUAAAGCCUUUGCAUAAAAGAGUCAUCUCCUAGUACAUCAAAUGAUACAUGCUGAAGAGAAACCUUAUGAACACAAGCAAUGUGGUAAACCUGUUGCAAGUCACAGUACUCUCCAAGUAAAUAAAAGAAGACACACUCAAGAGAAAUCCUGUGAAUGUCAUCAACAAAAAAAAAGCCUUUGUACAUUGCAAUCCUCUUCAAAUAUGUAAAAGAAGACAUACCUGUGAGAAUCUCUAUGAAUGUAAACAAUGUGGUAAAACCUUCAUAUGUCAGUCAUAUUCAGAGGCACAAAAGAAACCAUAAUGUAGAAAAAAAUCCUUGAGUGUUUUCAAUAUGAUGAAGCCUUUGCACACUUCUAUAGUCUUCAUCACCACGAAACAAUCCAUACUGUGUAGAAAUUUAUGAAUACAUUUAAUAUUGUGAAGCCUUUUCAAAAUUCCCAAGUUUUCAUAAGCAUGAAAGAGAAAUCCCAUGAAUGCAUUCAGUGUGGGGAAGCCUUUGUACAUUUUUACUGUCUUCAUCAUCAUGAAAGUACUCAUAAUGGAGAGAAAGUCUAUGAGUGUAAACAAUGUGGUAGAGCCUUUCUGGUGUGGGGUCCUCUCAGAUCCAACACCACUCAGUCUCAGGUAAUGCAAGUGACAGGAGUUUAUGGUAACAAAGCUGCUGCUGGUUCAUGACAUACUUGGAACAUAAUGUGUGACUUGUAACACACACAUUUCCCCAGGUGAGCCAGAAUGUUUCAGAGCUGGCAUGUUGCAGUCCAAAAGGUUAACCCACAAUUAUUAAUGUCUGAAAGAACUACAAGAACCAAACCAGAGAAGAGCCUGAGGAAAAGGAGGUCCAGUGACAUGCCCAAAUUGAGGUCCAUGUCAGUGGGAAGCCCCAAAGUCUGACACUAUUACUGAUGCUAUAGUGUGCUUACAAAUAGAGGGCUGUCAUGACUGACUUCCAAGAAGCUCAAUAAGCAGGUGAAAGAGUCAGAUGCAGAUAUUUACACCCAAUCAGUGGACAGAAACUGGUGACUCAUGAGGUUGAAUUAGGGAAAAGCUGGAAGAAGUUUAGGAGGAGGGCGACUAUAUAGGAAGUCAAGCGGUCUGAACUAACCUGUACCCCUGUGAUCUCUCACACACUGAGCCACCAACCAAGUAGCAUAAACCACCUGAUACAGAGCAGAGGACUACUGGGUCUGGACUCAGUCAGAGUAGAUACACAUGACCCUCCAGAAACUUGGGGCCCCAGGGAGUGGGGAGGACUAGUGGGGUGGGGGUUGUGCAUAGGAACAUCUUGAAGACUGGGGGAGGAGGAGUAAGAUGAGGAAGAGUUGGAGGGUGGAUAAGCAGGGGUAUAAAAUAUGAAUUGUAAAAAAAAAAGAUUGAACAAUAAAUGAAUAAGAAAAAAGAAAAUUAUAAAAAUAAGGAGAGAACACCAGAAACUUCUGUGUCAAGUUACAAGUAGAUUUUUUCAACAAUCAGGGUUUAGGGAUAGGGGCUUACGUAGUUGACAGUUAUCAACUGUUAUAGAAUGUGGGUUUUACAGUUCAAACAAUCAUAUGGAUUUGUUCUUUGGUGGUAAAGAACAGGUGUUAUGUUUUGAGAGCCUGGAAAUAGGCUUAUAUCGUAAGCAGAAGGAAAUUUAAUUGAAGUUAAAUACAUAUGAAAAGAUGUUUGUUCAAGUUACGUAAAGGGAAAGGAUAUAUAUCCAUAGAAAUAUUAAUCUCCAUGGAAGGCAGAAUUUAUGUAUGUAUAAAGACUCCUGGAGCUCCCUUCAAUGUUCUGCUGUGGGUCUCGGCUUCCAUUUUGGACAGUUGCUGGUGAAGCCUCUAAGAGGACAAAUAUGAUAGGCCCCUGUAUGUCAGCAUGAUUAAGUAUCAAAAAUAGCAUCAGGGAUUGGUUCUUUUCCGUGGGAUGAGUCUGAAGUUGGACUAGUGAUUGGUAGUCCAUUCCCUCAGACCCUAUUCCUACACUAUCUGUAGGCAAGAAGGUUUUGUAUCUGAGUUAGUAUCAUCAUUCCUUCACUGAGAGUUCUGCCUGGCUACAGGUGGUGGUCACUUCAGCUCAUAUCACCCACUGCGAGGAGUGAAUCUCAGCUACAGUCAUCCUCAUAGAAUCCCUGGAGCCUCCCCCAUUCCAGGUCUCUGUACAUCCUAGAAAUGCCUGUUUCCAGCCUGCUGCUAAUUCUCAUUCACUCUCUACAACUUCUCUCCACAUGAAAGAUCUUCCAACAUUCUCUUCACCUUCUCUCUCACAGUGUUACCUAUGUCCAUCAACCUUUCAAGAGUGUUUAUUUUCCCUUCUGAAUGGGAUUCAAACAUCAUCCCUUUUGACCCCCUUGUAAUUCAGUUUCAUUAGGUUUGUGGAUUGCUCUAUAGAUGUUCUGUACUUUGUGGAAAUAAUCCACUUAUAAUUGAAGAUAUAAUCUGCAUAUUCUUAUGAGUCUGUGUUACCUCACUUAGGAUGAUAAAAUGUUCCAUACAUUGUUGUUCUUGUUUUUAAUAACUGAAUAGUAUUCCAUUGUACAAAUGAACCAUUUUUUAAAAUUU